UCUUUAGAGACUUUAAAAAGUUCCUGGAGGCUCUUGCAGUGCCCACAACAGUGUGGGGAAGGAAGUUGGGAGCAGGUAGUCCAGCCAUACCUGCAGUGCAGAGUACUGCUCCCACAGCCCCUUUUAGGAAAUCCUGGAUCGACCUCUGCAACUAAAGCUUUGGCUAAACACCCACAAGCUGAUAACUAUACAGAAAGUCAUGGCUCCAGCUAACUGCAUGACAGCUCCAUCCAUAAAUGCUCACAACACGCAGACCCACAAGGUUGUGCACCCCAGUACUCCUGGUUCAACAAGCCUCCAUAUCUGGUCCACAGCUGCUCAGUUCAGUAAUAACAGUGCUGUCGGCCUGGUCACUGCCCUUCAGGGAGACUCUGCUGCUGACAGCUCUGGCAGGUGCCCCUUUGCACUGGUAGGGCAGCUGACAGAGGACGGGUGGGGGCAUACAUCUGGCCUGUGCUCGUGUCCCUGGCCUCCUAGCAACAGGAUUGAUUCCUGGUGUCUCUGGCCCUCCCUGCUGGGUUGACAGCAGUUUUUGGGUCCAUGCCCUUUUCAGUUACAACAUUCGGGCCUGCUCACUCAGCCACUUUUCCCCAGCAUCCUCCAGCAAAGGAAGUCAGCCAGUCAGCCACAUGCCUUGCACAAUGCAGUGGCAGCGAUUCCCUUUCAGCAGGCACACGUCAGGGGUUGCUGGAAUGUUGCUUCCCCACACGCAAACCUCAAGAAGGCGUUUGCCUGCACUCAGACACGUUCUAUCACUGCCACGCCUCCCAGGCAUGCGAUGAGUAAUAAUUAUGCUCACCACAUUAGCCAGCUAGUAGGGCUGUGCAAAUUUCACUGUCUGUUUCAUUUUGACAGUUUCGACUUGAAAAAGCUUGAAACUGUGAAAUUGAAACAAAAUGAAAGGCUUCGAAACAGCCUCAAAACAAAACAAGGGCAGUCGAAACAUUUCAAAAGUUUAACUUUCUAAAUGUUUUGAGUUUCGAAGCUGGGCUUGCUUGCAGCUAAAGAGAAACUAAGGAGAGAGAGGGGGAAGCGGGGGAAAGGACUGCCCUGAUAUUGACGUGUAGCUGGCCAGUGACUGUGAUCCUUCCCUGAGGUCCAUUUUAAUCCCAGUGCUCUGGAGAUGGGACAGAAAAACAGCACAUAAAGCAUUGUUUGAACUGAGCUUUCUCUGUGCCUUCACACAAGUGACACAAGAUUUGCUCUGAACAGUUUGAGGUGCAGUUUCCCAGAAACCCCUGCACCUAUCUCCUUGAAACUUGGCAGGUUUCAUGGCCUCAGAAGGGGAUACCAUCCCUGCAAGUUUAAUCUGAAACAGGCAAGAAAUGACAAAGUUAUAGGCAGUUUCGUGUUUCCCCGUUAUAGCCUAUGGGUGAAAUGUUGAAACAGCAUUGAAACAGUGAUACAGUUUCAACGAAAUGGAACAGUGCUUUCAAUAUGAAACAAAACUCAAAUGAAACACUGUCCCAUCGAAACAGCAAAAUGGAAGUCGAAACGAAACAGUGCUGUUUUGCACAACCCUACCAGCUAGCACUGACACACAGCCAGCCUGCACAGUGUGGCUUGGAGCCCCGUACUUGAGACAGGCACUGCAGCUGCCCAUAUAGCAUCUGUCUUGGCUGCUGUUGUGGUGGGAGUGUUUUGCUCUUUGCCCACAGCUUCCUGGGGAUCCCUGUCUAUGGAACUGGCAUGGAAAAGACUCAAGAAAAAAGAGAAAAGGUGACUCCCCCUCCUGCCAGGUUUCCUUUUCCAGGGCAGAGUUCUUUCGUGCCCCAUAGUGUACUACAAAACACCUCAGAAGCACACUGUGGCUUCCUGGAUGCUUUCAUCCCUAACAGUGGUUCGCCCUUGCCAACUAUGCAGCGUGGGAGGCAGUGGGCCUGGUGCUGCACUGAGGAGCACACUGCUUCCAUCUGGUGCACAGCUGGCUGGCUGGCUGCUCCGCCUAGCCUUCAGCGCCUGCCGGGCUGCACAACUGGAGCUUCUGAGGCAAAAGUUUUGUUAUCGCACCACCAAAGCUGCCAUCAUCCAGUAAGUCUCACACGGGCAAGGCUGGGUCAGAGCAACUACACAGAUCAAAAACUGUGGAUCAUUGCCUGUGGAGGCAUUUUGAACUCCAGAUCAAAAUGCCUCCACAGGAAACCUCUUCAAUAUUGAGCCAGUGCUCCCUGCCCCACAGAGGUUGCACCCUGGCCCUGCAGGGCUGGGAGGCAAGUGCCAUGUGUGAAUCCCCUACUCUUCUGGGAGGCUACACACUAGGGCAGGGGUGUCAAAAUUGCCUUGUUCCUCAGGCCAGAUCUAGACACAUGGGCUCCUUGUGGGCUGGAUCUGGACUGGGGCACAUGGAAGCUGCUGUGGUGGCAGCAACUCCGGUUCUGAACCAGAGCACAUGGUGGCAGCUCCAGCUCCCACCACAUCCCUCAUACCAGAGCUGGAGCUGCCACCACUAUGUGCCACCUGUCACGACUACAGCUCCAACUCUGUCAUGAGCAGAGAGCACAGCAAGAGCAAGCAACUGAGGAGGUAGAGCUGCAUCAGUGGAAACUAGCAAAGCAGUCAGAGGGCACAGUAAAACAGUAGACUAUUUUACUGUGCAUUGAAGUGUCAUGUAAAAAAUGGUGACAUUACACUAAUGCAGUAAAAUAGUCUAUUGUGCAUUAAGCACCACUAAAAAACAGUAUGCAAAUGCACUACUGUGCAUUAGCACAGCCUAAUACUCAUUCAUUUAGUACCUCACAUUGGAGAUGCUAAAUUGAAUGUGUAUUGUUUGCCCUCCUGUUGAUGGUUGCAGAUUGCAAGUCUGCAGCAUGUCAUUUCCCCCAGCCAUGCCAACAGUCUAGCGAACCAGGUAGAGCGGCUCUGUGGGCUAGAUCUGGCUCCAGGUACCAUACUUGAAACCACUGCACUAAGGGCAGCUUCAUGGCUCUUUGAGGGCAGAGCAGCCUGCUAACUGGAAUAGGAUGUUCCUCCCUGCUGGGGGAGAUGCUGUCCAGCUUGCCCAACUUUGCAUCACCUAGGGGCACUGAGGCAGGAGGAGGAUGGAACAGCUGAGGGACAAGAGGCUUCCUGAAGCCCAAGGGAAAAUCCAUAGAGUCAGACUCUCACCUCCCUGCCCCUUGCCUCUACUCCCUGCUCUUCUCCCCUUUUAGAUACAAAUAUACACACUCUCUCUGUCUUUCUGUCUCUCUCUCUCGCUUUCCCUUUUUAUCCUUUCCAGUCAGCCAGUCAGUCCUGAGGCCACACUGAUUGUUGGGGCAUCUUUGAUGUAGCUAUAACUUUCCUCCAUUCUUCCCAGUCUUGUACAGUCAGUUUUAAUCCCAUCCAGUCUUGAUAUUGGUGGUCCAGUUCAUCCUAGGUCUUUGUCUUUUUCUUCAUCAUCUUCUUGCACUGUCAGUGGUUUACCCUGCCACUGGUACCAUGUAGCCCAGUGCAACCUGUCUCAUAGUUGGAUUGCCGGCAACUAAACCACCAUCCCCACCUGGUCUGCCAGGUGAGAAGCAUGUAUUGAGACACAGCAGGACUAAAAACAAAACCUGCCAAAGGACAGAUAAGCUCACAAGAGCCAACAGCCAUCCGUACCCGGAGAGGAGAUGGGCACCACCAGGUUAUUCCUGCCCAAAGUAUCACCAAUAAUGCAAAGCCAAUCAACUAACCUCCUCUCCAUUAGCUACUCAAAAUAUUUUGUAGAAGGAGAAGCAAAAUGAACGUUGGCUAGCGUCCAACAGUCAUUCCAAUAAGAAGGAAUAGAAAUUUCAUACUUAAAUUAGAUUUGUUAAAAGUCAAGCCAUUGUCUCUGGUUCAGCUGCAUUCCCAAAUAUAUAAAGAUAUAAUUUGUGACAUACUUAAUUCUGGUCAUUUGAACAUCGUCACAGACAUAAAUAAUAACAACAGUUGCUCCUUUGGGUUUCUUUGUGAUGCAGCAUCUAGAUUCUGCGAUGUUCAGAAAGGAUGUUAUAGUGAGAGCAGGUUGGAAACAUUUUGAUACAUGUCCUUUGAAAAUCUUGAUGGGUCAAAACUAGAUCUUUUUGCAUAAAUGCAUCUGUGUCAAUCAGAGAUGUGGGGCGGAAAAUUUUUCCGGAAAAUUUUCAGUGCUUAAUUUUUCUGUGGGAAAUUUUCCAUUUCUAAAAAUUAAUUGUUUCAUAAAAUUUAUUAGUAACAAUGAAUGGAUGCCAAUACAAUACAAUACAAUACAAUACAAUACAAUACAAUAUUAGGCAAGCUUGGCAGUUUCAAAGUUUUAAUUAAAGUUUUUCAGGUGAUUAUCCCUAGGAAGUGAGAGAGAGAGUACAUAUAUGUUUUAUUGAUUUGUAAACAGGAGGGUAAAUACAGUCACAUAAUAACCCAAACCAAAAAUCAAGUUAUGAAUUCACCUAAUUGGCUGUGCAGGUUAAAUCAAAAUCAAAGCUAAAGUUCUUAUUUCAUCUAAGACUGCAAGAGAAAGCAAAACCAAAACUAAAACUGUGAUUAAUUUUCAUUUCACUUUCAGUUCAGCAAACACACAGAGCACUGUCUCAGUUCUUUCCUUGAGUUGGGGAAGUUGGAAGUGUUUGCAUACAGUCUGUUAGUCUUUUAGUGCUUCUGGUUUGAAGCAGUCAUAAUAAUGCCUAAUCAGAAAAAAAACUAGUGUGGGGCAUCAUUAUAGUUCAAGCCACUGAAUGAAGGAAGAAAGUUGGUAGAUGUAAAUAUUGUAUUCUAACAACAUAACAAGAAUGGAGAAACAUUUAAUAACAUGUAGAAACUGUCCUGAAAGAGUGCAAGCCAUAUACAGAAAGCUAACACAACAAAGUGGUAGAAGAACAUCAUCUGAGAAAAGUCUACUUCAGGAAUCCUAUGAACUUGGUAGCUCAAGUGAAAUAGCAGAUUUGCAAAAAAUGGAAAAUGAAAAUGUUGAGUUGCCAGGUCUGGGGGAAAAAGAAGCAGGAUCUUCGCUUUCAAGAUCACUGUCACCAGAUAUGUGAUCCACCAUGAGUAGCUGUUCAAGACAGUCAAGCUUUUUAUCAAGCUUUGGGGACAAAAUGUCAAAAGAAGAUCAAGAAAAAUCAGAUGAGAGAUUAGCUUGAGCUACAUUUGCAAGUGGUACACCUUUAUCCGUAACUGAAAAUCAGUACUGGAAGGAACAUUACAAAUUAAUUGGCCCAUCAUAUAAGUUACUGUCACAUUAUAGCUCAUCACAUUAUUUCUUAGACAGAGUAUGACAGAAUUCAAACAAUGUUAUUCAAAAGAUUGGUCAAGCAGAAUCGCUGACUUUGAUGUCAGAUGGAUGAACUGAUAUACAGUAAAAGCUCUAUUAUUCGGCAUCCCCCGCGAAUCGGGGAUGCCAGAUAACAAAAUAUGCCGGUUAAUUGAGCGGCCCAAACAGGUGUUCUUGCCUGUUCGGGCCUCUGCUUCUCCUGCUGCCUCGCCUGCGGCACCUCCGACCCUCCUGCAGGCCCUAUGGGCCCCGCGGGACAGAAGGCGGGCCCCGCGCAGCUUGUUAUACCCCCGGGCUGUGGGGGCUCAGAGAAACUGGAAGUGCCACGGUGGGAACUUCCGGUUUUACUUUACCUUAGAAGCCGGCAUGCCAGUUAACAGAGCACCUGAACCAAUAUUUCUGGAAGCAAUUGCUACCAAAUCUCAUCAUACAGGUGAAUACAUAGCCAAAUUACUGAGUGAAGAGAUUGAAAGUGCAGGUCUCUCCAGGAUACAAGCCCUUGUAACUGAUAUUGUGAGUAACAUGAAAGCUGCAUGGCAAAUAUUAAAGGCAAAGUAUCCUCAUUUAAUAGUACUUGGCUGUCUUGCUCAUGGGUUGAAUCUUCUGGCAAAGGACAUAGUAAGUAUGAAUACAAUGAAGACAACAUUGGCAAGCUGCAAAGCGAUUGUGAAGGUAUUCAACAAUCAUCAUGUUGCUAAUCAGACUUUGAAGAAAUUACAGAAAGAAAAGCAGGGGAAGGAAAGUGCACUUUCAUUUUCAGGAGAGACUAGAUGGGGCUUGGCUACAAAGUGUUUACAUAGUUUGCUGCGCACAAAGAACUGUUUGUACUGUGCUUCCAUAGAUGACAGUAUCCCAGAUUAUUCCCAUGAACAUUCGGAAGCAGAUUCUCAAUGAUGAUGUGUUCUGGGUUCGAGUUCAGGGAGCAUUCAGUUUGCUACUACCAGUCUAAGUGGCUAUCAAGAAACUUGAAGGAGAUACACCAAGCUUUUCAAAUAUUCCAGAGAUAUUCAGACAACUGAAUGAAAAUCUAAUUGAGCUUGCUUUCUUCACCUCUACCCAAAAAAGAAGUAAAACAAAUGUUUACUAAGAGAUCUGAGUUUUGCUCUCAUCCAGUUCAUCUGGCAGCAAACCUUUUCGAUCCUCAACACAAAGGACAACAUUUAUCAGAAGAUGAAUUAUCUACUGCUCUCAGUACAAUUAUGGAAGUAGCUAAGAAUGUCCCCAACAUCGACAAAAUAGCCGUGAUGAUAGACAUUGCCAAGUACCGUGCAAAAGAAAAACUUUGGAGCAAAGAGAUCAUUUGGCAGGCAGCAGAGAAUAUGUCUCCUCUCACAUGGUGGAAGGGAUAUUGUAACACCCGACUGUUGUCCAGGAUUGCUCUAAGGAUUCUAAGCAUUCCACCAACACAGCUUCUUAUAAACAGAACUGGAAGGCUUUCAGCUCAAUCAAGACAAAAAAGAGGAAUAGACUAACAAAUAAACGCAUAGCUAAGCUUG